GUUUAAUAAUUCACCAUGUAAAAUUAUUUGAUGAACCUCCGUAACAAGAAAAAAAAAUGUUUUUUUAAAUGAAAUAAAUGUUUUUUUUCCCAUCAGGAGCCAUUUUCGACCUGGAUCUGAAUCUGGAUCUGAAUCUGGAUCUGAAUCUGGAUUUGAAUCAGAAUCUGAAUCUGGAUCUGAAUCUGGAUCUGGAUCUGAAUCUGGAUCUGAAUCUGGAUCCAGCUGUGUGUCCUUCAGGAGUGACAAGUCAAAGGACUUUAAUCCUGACUUCAAGUCCAUCAGUCCAGGAGUGAAACAGAGCCAUUUUCGACCUGGAUUUGAAUCAGAAUCUGAAUCUGGAUCUGAAUCUGGAUCUGGAUCUGAAUCUGGAUCUGAAUCUGGAUCUGAAUCUGGAUUUGAAUCAGAAUCUGAAUCUGGAUCUGAAUCUGAAUCUGGAUCUGAAUCUGAAUCUGAAUCUGGAUCUGGAUCUGGAUCUGAAUCAGGAUCUGGAUCUGAAUCUGAAUCUGGAUCUGAAUCUGGAUCCAGCUGUGUGUCCUUCAGGAGUGACAAGUCAAAGGACUUUAAUCCUGACUUCAAGUCCAUCAGUCCAGGAGUGAAACAGAGCCAUUUUCGACCUGGAUUUGAAUCAGAAUCUGAAUCUGAAUCUGAAUCUGGAUCUGGAUCUGAAUCUGGAUCUGAAUCUGGAUCUGAAUCUGGAUCUGGAUCUGAAUCUGGAUCUGAAUCUGAUCUGAAUCUGGUUUGAAUCAGAAUCUGAAUCUGAUCUGAAUCUGAAUCUGGAUCUGAAUCUGGAUCUGAAUCUGGAUCCAGCUGUGUGUCCUUCAGGAGUGACAAGUCAAAGGACUUUAAUCCUGACUUCAAGUCCAUCAGUCCAGGAGUGAAACAGUAAGUGUUUGUCAGAGUUAAAGGAGGCUGGAUAAUAGUUCAGAUGAUCAAUAGUUUUCAGAUAAAUGAUUGAGAUCUGGUUCAGUUUUUGAUCUCUCUGA
rnacentral:lncRNA from 1 species